UCCGCGGAAUCUCGACGUACGUUUUCUCGGUUUCGCGGCGAUAAACGGAACAAAAUUGUGUCUGGCGGAGAGUAGCUCCCGAUUUGUGCACGGAUCAUCGAUUCUGCUUCCUUGGUCGGUUUUCUUCCACUAGUCUGUUAGAGAAUCGGCCUUGGAGAGCUUCUCGCUGCUGAGGCAAUUGUGUCGUUUGCAAUUAAGCAGCGUAUGUCCAUUCAGUAUUGGCCGCGUCCGGACAAAUGAAUGGUCUGAGUGUAUACCUUUUCGGCUCUAAUUUCUGCGAUAGGGAUGUAGUGAUUUCGCCAGCCCGUUUUGCUGGUCCCUACCCAGUAUUAAACGACCGCAGAGCACAUCUACAUCUUCCUGAAGAGAAUGUGACGUGUCCGCUUUCGACAAAUGACCUCUCAAUUGGUCUUCUAUUAUUCUCCAGUCGUCGGAUGACUGGAGAAA